UCAAUUUGGGCAUACCUGCUGCAACAUUUGCCUUACAAGUUCCUGUUGGUUUGGGAGCAAUCAUCUUCAACAUUUGCUCCCUAGUGAAGUAUCCUCCUGGAAAGUAUAUAUGUGAUCCUUCUCUUAUUUGUGGUUCAGCAUCAACCUCAUCCCCUACAACAACAUUAUGAGCAUAAGGUCUAGAACCAUCACCUGUCAGUUUUUUCUUACUUUUGAAAUCUGGU
rnacentral:lncRNA from 1 species